rnacentral:rRNA from 1 species
CAGUUCGGAUUGGGGUCUGCAACUCGACCCCAUGAAGUCGGAGUUGCUAGUAAUCGCAGAUCAGCAUUGCUGCGGUGAAUACGUUCCCGGGCCUUGUACACACCGCCCGUCACGUCACGAAAGUCGGUAACACCCGAAGCCGGUGGCCCAACCCC